UACGUAGGGGGCUAGCGUUGUCCGGAAUCAUUGGGGUACGUAAAGAGCGUGUAUGGCGGCCCGGUAAGUCGCUGAUUGAAAGUCGGGGGCUACAACCCUCGAAUGCCGGUGGACUACUGUCGGGCUGAGAGUCGCGGGAAGAGGCGAAUGUUGGGAAGUUCCUGGGUGUUAUGGCGGGUGGAAAUGAACGGCCAUGAGUAAUUCAAGG
rnacentral:rRNA from 1 species